CGUGAGCGAAGAAGGCCUUCGGGUCGUAAAGCUCUGUCAAGUGGGAAAAAAAUCUUUUGAUGAAUAGUCAAAAGACUUGAUGGUACCACUGGAGGAAGCACCGGCUAACUCCGUGCCAGCAGCCGCGGUAAUACGGAGGGUGCAAGCGUUGUUCGGAUUUACUGGGCGUAAAGAGCGUGUAGGCGGUUUGGCAAGUCAGAUGUGAAAGCCCUGGGCUCAACCCGGGAAGUGCAUUUGAAACUGCUUCACUAGAGUAUGGGAGAGGAGAUUGGAAUUCCUGGUGUAGAGGUGAAAUUCGUAGAUAUCAGGAGGAACACCCGUGGCGAAGGCGAUUCUCUGGACCAAUACUGACGCUGAGACGCGAAAGCGUGGGGAGCAAACAGGAUUAGAUACCCUGGUAGUCCACGCCGUAAACGAUGAGAACUAGGUGUAGUGGGUAUUGACCCCUGCUGUGCCGAAGUUAACGCAUUAA
rnacentral:rRNA from 1 species